GAUGAGACUAUAUAGUAUCAGCUAGUUGGUAAGGUAAUGGCUUACCAAGGCUAUGACGCUUAACUGGUCUGAGAGGAUGAUCAGUCACACUGGAACUGAGACACGGUCCAGACUCCUACGGGAGGCAGCAGUAGGGAAUAUUGCGCAAUGGGGGAAACCCUGACGCAGCAACGCCGCGUGGAGGAUGACACUUUUCGGAGCGUAAACUCCUUUUCUUAGGGAAGAAUUCUGACGGUACCUAAGGAAUAAGCACCGGCUAACUCCGUGCCAGCAGCCGCGGUAAUACGGAGGGUGCAAGCGUUACUCGGAAUCACUGGGCGUAAAGGGCGCGUAGGCGGAUUAUCAAGUCUCUUGUGAAAUCUAAUGGCUUAACCAUUAAACUGCUUGGGAAACUGAUAGUCUAGAGUGAGGGAGAGGCAGAUGGAAUUGGUGGUGUAGGGGUAAAAUCCGUAGAUAUCACCAAGAAUACCCAUUGCGAAGGCGAUCUGCUGGAACUCAACUGACGCUAAGGCGCGAAAGCGUGGGGAGCAAACAGGAUUAGAUACCCUGGUAGUCCACGCCCUAAACGAUGUACACUAGUUGUUGGGGUGCUAGUCAUCUCAGUAAUGCAGCUAACGCAUUAAGUGUACCGCCUGGGGAGUACGGUCGCAAGAUUAAAACUCAAAGGAAUAGACGGGGACCCGCACAAGCGGUGGAGCAUGUGGUUUAAUUCGAAGAUACGCGAAGAACCUUACCUGGGCUUGAUAUCCUAAGAACCUUUUAGAGAUAAGAGGGUGCUAGCUUGCUAGAACUUAGAGACAGGUGCUGCACGGCUGUCGUCAGCUCGUGUCGUGAGAUGUUGGGUUAAGUCCCGCAACGAGCGCAACCCACGUAUUUAGUUGCUAACGGUUCGGCCGAGCACUCUAAAUAGACUGCCUUCGUAAGGAGGAGGAAGGUGUGGACGACGUCAAGUCAUCAUGGCCCUUAUGCCCAGGGCGACACACGUGCUACAAUGGCAUAUACAAUGAGACGCAAUACCGCAAGGUGGAGCAAAUCUAUAAAAUAUGUCCCAGUUCGGAUUGUUCUCUGCAACUCGAGAGCAUGAAGCCGGAAUCGCUAGUAAUCGUAGAUCAGCCAUGCUACGGUGAAUACGUUCCCGGGUCUUGUACUCACCGCCCGUCACACCAUGGGAGUUGAUUUCACUCGAAGCCGGAAUACUAAACUAGUUACCGUCCACAGUGGAAUCAGCGACUGGGGUGAAGUCGUAACAAGGUAACCGUAGGAGAACCUGCGGUUGGAUCACCUCCUUU
rnacentral:rRNA from 1 species